rnacentral:lncRNA from 10 species
GGCGGGUGGGGAAAUAGUCAGAAAUAGAAUGGCACUUCAAGUACCUUGAGAACUAUUAUUAAUGUUCUGACUCACAAUCAAAGGCCACAAAGAAUAACAGCUCCAAUUCUGAAUAACAGUUAAAAUCCUAGAACAGGGGUAAAGGAAGAAGCAAAUGAAUGGAAUUUUCUAAACAACCCAAAAGGGGAAAGAGAGAGGGAGAACCUGGAGAAUCCUGUCAGUAGUAGAAAUCAGAAAACAACCGGCAUUCAUCAGAUUUAAUUUCUGCAAACCAACCAGUGUCCUGGAAAUCAGACAUUUACUCAGCAACUCUGUGGGUGACAUUGCUGUGACAGGCUGACAUUGCUGUGGGCAGGAACUAGAGGGAGAACAAUCUAAGAGACCUGAUUCUCAUCAGAAAGAGAAUCUGCUAUAAUCCUCAUCUUGAGAAUGUAUAAUCUCUAAUCCUCAUCUUAGACUCACCUCUACCUGAUGACUUACCGGUAAGCAAUAACAUGUGACUGAAAUAGAGGUCUUGGAGCAGCCAGGCGUUUGCCAUGGUGGGUUUGUUAAAAUCAAUAUCACAUUUAUUUAGAUAAGAAUACCAAGUCAUACAGAAUGUUCUCCCUG